UCACGCGGUUGAACUCAGCUAUGUUCAAUGCAGUGGCAUAGCUAGAGGAGUGCCAGGGUGGUCCCUUGAUUUUGCGAUAGGCCUAUAUACCCUGCAUUUUCAACCAAAUAAAACAUAGAUAGUUGUGAGUUUCUAUAUAGAUCUGUUUGGGUUAAAGAGAGAUUGCAGUCCAAUUUGCGGCCUAACUUAAAAAUUUAUAGUACGUAGUACAUUGACAUACAAUUUUGCAGCAAAAAAAAAAUCCUUCAAUUGGACCAUCCUGGAUUAAAAUGCUGGCUACGCUGCUGGUUCAAUGUGUUGAAGAUGAUGCAUGUGUGCACCCUUCGCUUUGAGUUGCUACUUCUUCAGCACAUAAGGAAAAAAAUUGGGUGGGCGCGUGCGCCCCUCGUCCCGAUGGAGCAGGUUCCUGAUCGGACGCGCGCGAUGGCUCACAGAGCGUUUUCCCUCGCGGCUCGUCUGGCUUCCCGCGUCGGCUCGUCUUCGUCCGCUGCCUGCCAUCUCGAGCGUCGAUCGAGCUUCUGCACAGACGUGGAUCGGAUCGGCUUCGCCUCCUGCAUCUUCGCCCCGGCGCCACCCCCGAUUGCCGCCGCCGCGAGGGAAAUUCCGUCGAUCAAGCGCGGCACAGAUCGGAUCGGCUCCGCCUCCCGCGUCGUUUCCUUCGCAGCGCCCGCCUCUCCCGGCCGAUCACUUCCCGUCGACUCAUCUCCCAGUUCCGAUCGUCGGCCAUGGAGGAAGGGCGGCGCGGCGAAGCCCUACCCGGUGACGUCGGUGGAGGUGAACGAGCAGCAGUUCACAUCGCCGGGGCGGAAGGCGGCGCGGCGAAGCCCUACCUGGCGACGUCGGUGGAACCCUACUGGAUCGCACGCAUGCUGCUCCGUCGCCAUCGGUCCUCAGGUAACUGCUGGUGCUGCUCCUUGCUUGAACAUGAUCAUCGCCAUGUCAAGGUCCAGCCGGCCGAUUAGUCAUCGAUCUCUCCCUGAUGUAGAUUGCAUGCUCCACCUUUGAAUGAUGCUAUUGGUGGCGAUCAUGGAGAAGAGGAACAACAAAUAACACGUGUUGGAUCAGUGGAGAAUGAAGUACCUAAUAAGAUUUCGUAGGAAACUCGGUCUUUCAGAACUCCUUGUAGAAUGUGAAAACGUUGCAGCUAGUCUAAGGUCAAAUGAGUUGGAUGAUGAUUUUAAGUCACGUCGAAAGACUCCAGUUUCCUACAUUCCAAAUCUACCUAUGUUGAAAACUGCAGCUGAAUCAUAUACAAGGAGAAUGUAUUCAGAGUUUGAGGAAGAAUUUAAAAAACAGUUUACAUUGUCUUGCGAAUUAUUGGAAGCUGCGGGGACAAACUCGACAUUCUUUGUUAAGUACAUGCAAUCUGAUCGUGGAGCAACAGUAGUGCUGAAUACCGAAGAUUCGACCAUGACAUGCUCUUGCCGGAUGUUUGAAUGCAUAGGAACUGAGGAGGCAGAUUUGAAAACACAGGCAGCACUUAUAUCUUGGCAGGCCACAUCUCUUGCAUUGAAGUGUUCGUCGUGAAAACAACUUCUUGAUAAACUGCAGAAAGCCAUGUAUGACUUGAACUUGGAAGCGGAUACUUAUCUAAGUGAGAUGCAUGAAAAAUCCAAUGAGAUUGCUCCUAUUCCAAAUGAAUGUGUCCGAGAACCAUUAAACGGUGUAAUAUCAUUCAAAAUUUCUCAAGUGAUAAAAGGUCCAAAGAAGACACGUACUAAAAA